GCACCACUGAGGAGUUUCACAAUAGGACGAAACGGCCGUCCAGUGU
rnacentral:hammerhead_ribozyme from 1 species